AAUAGCUCCAUUUCUAGAAGCUGGUGUCCAUGCAUACUUGCUGUGAUUCAAUUUUAAAACAGAAAAGCAAUAUUUUUUUUUUCCAGAAAACCUUUAUCAACUUGACAGAUAUAGAAGGAGUAUUUUCAGUUGAGCAGGCUUAUCACUUCAGAAGGCAGGCAGAGCUUGGGUGAAGUUCCGUCUCUUUGUUUGAUUGUUACUAUAAAAAUAUGGAAUCAAUAUUUCACACUAGAGAAUGAUAUUUAUGAAAUAUAUUGUUCUGUGUAGAUAUAUCCCCAAUUAAUAUUUUAUAGGAACAAGGCACGCUUAAAAAACCGAUUUGGACUUUCAUUAGUUUCAUCGUAUCUGUGAAUACUUUCAGUGCAAGGCUUUCUCAAUAUUUGCCCAAACUCUUACCAGCGUGAGCAUUUCUAGAAAGAUCAUGGUUUUCCUUCUGUCUGUGUGUGGCCUUGAUGGAGACAGCCAUGCCAGUUGGGGGGCAUAUUUGUGUAAGCCGGAUUCCGUCUUGACUUGGGCAAUGAACACAUGUGUCCUCUGGAACAGUCACCUGAGAUAUCAGCCUCCCGUCAGAAUCUGAAUCAUGCAGGACGUGGACAUCAUGACUUGCUAUCAGCAGCUGCGCUCAACUGCUUUCAGAAGAGCCCGGAUCAGGUGUCUGGAGUCUGGAUGACGACCCGCUGGACAGGGAGGCUAUGAUCCCAUGCUUGGGCUGGCCUGCAGGGUGGGGCCAGGAGGUGUGGAGACACGGGCACAGGAGGAGAAGUCACAGGGCGGAACUUCUCUGGAUGGGGCCCCAUCCCACGGAGCUGUGGCCUCAGACCCCCCGGCGUCGCGGAUCUCCCGGUCUCACUCUUCCGGGUCCCCAGCCGCUUCUUCUCCGGAUCUUUUCAUGCAGACGCUGUCUGUGGUUUGCAUCACCUGUUCUUACCUCAUAGUCUGUGGGAAUAGCUGGUACCCAGUUGGGUUGCAUCCAUCAUUCAUGGGUUUUUGGUUUUUCUAUUUAGUUGUUCUGUCUGUUUCCAUGUACAAAUACAGAAAGAUUCAAAACGGUGUCGCUGUACGUCCAUCUUCCCAGAACCUUGCUCUACCUGCAGGCUUCCCAUUCUGAAUCGAAGGUAAAGCUAGCUGCAGAAUAAGAUCAAUGCCUUUCUUCCUCGGCCACAGGCGAAGGAAGAAAGCUCUGCAUACCAUGUGUUUGUCAACCUUGGCAAGAGCUAUAGAAAUGCUGAUGCCAGGGUCCUAACCUCAAGAAGCUCUGCUUUAAUUGGUCUGGGAUUGUGUGUUCCCUUGGUGGUUCCAGUGUGUAGCCAAAGUUGACAACCAGUAAUAAGAAGAAAUAAGGAUGUUUUAAAGCAUUUCAAAGCCCUUAGCAAUUUACUGAGAAUAAACCAGUUACUGUCUGUUCAGUCCGCUACGAGGGCCGUCUCCUGUCACGCUCUGGCCCUGUCUGGUCUAGGUGAGGCUGACCCACGUCCUAGCAAUGGGAGUCGUCCAGGCACGCGGAUGUGGCCAAUCAGGGGGCUCCAUUCCCAGCGAGAGAUACAUGCAUGACCCAAGCUGAACCGUGGAAAAUUCCCCCAUGACGUUUGCUAGAGUUACCAGCUCUUUUCACAGCUACUGUGACCUGCAAGAUCACUGGCAACCUUGAACUUUGCUCUUUACUCCAAAAGGAAGCAAGUCUGCCUGAGAGUGAAGCAUACAGAGGAAAGCGCUGCUGAGAGAUGGAAACAGAGACUAUCCUGGUAACUCUCCGAUGGAAUUUUUAGAGGUCCAAAAUAUCAUACGCCCCUUUGCCCAAAUUCAGAAUGAAUUGAGAAAUAGAUGUAGAGGUCGGGUAAAUGGAGAAGAAAAAGCUUCAUUACUGAGAAGCCGACUGAGCCCAGGUCUCUGCCUUCCCUCCCAAUAGAACUUUCUAACACUCUACUCCAUAGUUUGAUUUACAGCCCAUCACUGGCAUGGCUGGAACCUUAGACUUUGCUCACUGCUGUCCCCGCUCAGCACAAGGUAGGAGAGCAGACGGAAGACACAUAACCUGGUCAGACAAAACGAAGGACACCAGAGCAGCUGCACCAGCCCACAUGCCACAGCCUCUUCCCCUUCCCCAGCCAGGGCUCCUGGUUUGGCCACGUGAGUUUCUGCUGAAUUUUAACCUCCACCUGUCCCUUUCGACCUGCAAACCCAGAUCCCCUCUAACGUUGGGAAGAAUAACUGAGGAGACCGAUGCGAGGGUUCCUCUCGUGUUUGCACAUCUGGAGGGACCGACCAUUGUGUGAGUGGACCGGCUGCGUUUGAACACCGGCACUCCUGAGUUCCCCACAGUGGUCAAUAAACUACCUGUCUUUUUAUCAGGUUCUCUCCCCACUCACACCUUUUGCAAAAAGUCCCUUGGUUAAUAUCCUUUUUGUUCUUCUUUGUAGUGUCUUUACCCGUCGGCCUCCUGACCCGCAGCCAAUCUGUCCUGUUAGGCUGACACGGGGACACCUUCACCGGCACACGGUGUCCUCAAGGGAGCUGAUACAGUCACUUGUAAAUAUAUUUACAAAAGUCAAAACUUUUCAGUGUUUUACCCAAGAGGAAAUCGUCCCACACCCUUCCCCAACGAGUACAAUUUUCGGCUAUAUAGUCAAGACAAAUCCAUUUUUCAGAAGAAAUAGCCCCUGCCCUCCUUUUUCUGACCGAUUAACAAGAACCGUACAAUGUCAACAUGUAGGUAGGCAGAGUGUUUGCGCUUCUUAGAAUCUCAACGGCGAGAAGACAUCAAACAGUUUACUAUCAUUUUGCUGUAUGCCAUAACACUCCAUGUCAAUUAUAUCUCAGUAAAACUGAACAAAGAUCUCCUUAGUGAGUUUAAGCUGUAAAUAUUGUUUUGAAGCAUUACAUAAAAGGAGCUUGAGAAUACAGUGGGUUUGGGGGCGGGUGGCGGUAGCGUGCUGCGGCUUCCUGUGUGCUCUUCUCACCGGCGCGCAGUGGUUCUCUCUACAUUUCCCCUCUUUUCUUCUCUUUAACCAAAGGAAAAAGAAUCUAAAAUGUUAUUUCUAAUCUCUAAUGUUUUUCAUUGCCUAUCUACUAACUCCAUUUGAUGUUAAAAGAACACUAAACAUAAUUAAAAUUUCUUUUUGGAGGUAUGUUUUAGAAGGUCCUGAUGUGCUGCUGGAGCUCUUUUAGCUAGGAGAUAGGAGUCAAUAGCUUUCACUACAUUCCAGAAGAACCAAUGAGAAAACAUACGGGAAAAAGAGAUACCCCAUGCACAAAAGUAUGAAAGGGCAUAAAAUAUUUAUGAGAAGCUUUAACAAGAAAUGUGCAUGACGUACGUGAAGACAAUUAUAUCACCUUAUUAAAUAUGUAACGAAGAUGAAUAAUAAUAAUAAAAGUUAGCAUUGCUGCGCCGUUCAUGCUCGGUGCUGUGCUUUUUCUUUCCCUGCGUCACCUCCUUAUCUGUGAAGCAGAGAAGCUCUGCUGUAGCCAGCGCACCGCCCUUGAGCCUGACCCGGUUUACUUAACUUCUCUGGGUUUCGGUUAUAAAAUCAGGAGAGGACCAAUCCGUGCCUCACAGGAUUGUUCUAAGAUUUAAUAAGACAUUACAAAUAGAGUGCUGAGAACAGGGCCUGGCAAACAGCACCAUAGGUACCAUUACUGGAAUCACGUUACAGAAGAAGAAAAUGAUACCAUGAUGGCUAGUGGCCUUCCUAACGACAUCCAGCGAGGAAGUGACUGGGAUCCCCAUGCUGCCCUGUCCGACUCGACAGCGAAGAUCUAAAUUUAUUACCUGUUUGUGUUUCUAGAUAAGAAGGAAAUGGCACUUCCUCGGAUACUUAGUGGAGUCAUUCUAGGAUUCCUCUGAAAGAAUUAGCACGUAAAGUAUUUUAAAGGUAGAGAAAUAAUGGGAGAUAAGUCAUAUAUGGUUGUAUCAGAAAUGUAAACAUUUCUAUGUUAAAACAGAAGAUAAUAAGAGUGAUGGAAAUGUUCUCAAUCUUGAUUGUGGUGCUGGUUACACAACUAUAAUCCUAGCCAAAAUGUUUUAAACUUCAUACUUAAAAGGGUUAAUUUUUUAAAAAAUAAUAAACAAACAAAAAGCAACAAACAAAUAAAAGUAAUGAAUUUUGUGGGUGAAAAUUAUACUAUAAAAAAAUUUGGAGGGGGAAAAAAAGAACUAUAAUUAAAAGGCAAGCACUCAACCAGUGGGGAAUGUACCCCAAUAUGGCAAAGCGGUAAUAUGUUUGCUACAGCACCAACCAGAGCUAAUUCAUCAUGGAACCUACAACCCCAAUUCCAGUUCUGGGUACACACAUAGAAAUAAGUGCUUAUGUCUGCCAGACGCACGUACAGAAUGCUCAGGGUAGCCUUAUUCAUAACAGCUCCAAACGGCAAACAGCCCAAAUUGCCAUCAGCGAGAGAAUGAGUAAAUAACUUGUGGUUAUUUCCAUGCGAUGGAGGACAGAAAUGAAAACGAGCGAACAGGACAUGCAACAUGGACGAGACCCUCCGACACCACGCUGAACCAAGACGGCCGGACACGGAAGAGCACACCGCAGGUUUCCAUCUGUAAGAGGCGAAAACAGGGGAAACUCAUCUGUGAUGCCGGAUGUUAGCACAGCGGCUGCUUGAAGUGUUGACUGCUGACCAGGGGGGACGUGGGGGCGCCCCCGGGGGCUGGACAUGUUCUAUAUCUUGACCGGGUGGUGGUGAUGGGGUGGGGGGAUGUACAUAUGUAAAAAUUUGUUGAACUAUGCGCUUCAGAUUGGUUUACUUUCCUGUAUGUGAAUAAUACCUCAAAAAAUUCAAUAUGAAUUAAUAAGAUGAACACAGGACUUGAGGUCACAAAAGAAGAGAGGAACAGACUGAACUCUUACGACACCAGGCGCGUGUUCCAUCUCGGUGACCCUACUCGCACAAACAAAAAGGUAUUUCUAGAUUAUAAAACCCAUAGCUGAGCCAGAUGAGGAGGUUAGGAGGAAGACUCCGAGAUGAAGGGUUGUGGGCAAAUGAUUACCGAGGAAGUUCUUAUGGGAGAUACCGGUAAGGGGCUGAGGCAAGUAGGGUAGGGGAGGGGAAGAAGCCCGGCAAAGCUGUCAUUUCGGUAAGGUCUCGGUCUCAGCCUGGUCCCCCGGGAGCUCUGGAAUGUCAGUGACGCCGCAUCGUUUCUUCCGGCUCUAGGCAGGCGAGCUGGGCUUUGGCUUCCUCUACAAGUCCCAGCACAGGUACAAGCUCCAUCACUGUCCCACACCACAGUGGCUCCUGCAGCCCAGGACUCGUCCUCUGAAGAAGGUCACCAGUGGGUGCUGUUAACACGAAGAGUGCUUAAGUUGGGGGUAUGGGCAUGCAGAGACAGUAAAGGGAUUCUGGGAAGUCGAGGGGGAGCGUCUGUGGUGUCUGCCCCAACUGGCAGGUGGGAGGGGUCAGUUGUCAGAGGCAGCAUUGUGCCCGAGACUGAAAUGACCGGUUGUGACCACUGAGCGAGUGAAGAAAUAAAGCCAGGGAGGAACGAAUGGUCAUUCCCCAAAUGACUCUGUUCUUCCCAUGACCUUCCUGUGCUUGCAUCUAAAGUAGGUGCGCUGUGGUCAAGGUCGCAGAAGGGAUGUGGGAGAGUACGGACAAAGAAGGGAGAGCUCAUUUGUCCAGAAAACAUUCCGAUCCUGUUCACAUCUUGGAAUUUGAUGUGUCAUGUACGUGCCGAAGAGAAGCAAGCACCUGGGUUGUAGAAUGUGUGUUUGGUCACCUUCACGCCUGAUCCAGCCCUGCACGGUCACAGGCAGUCCUUUCUCUGCGGGGUCCUCUGCACGGACUGAGCUGCAUCUUCAGGGCAUCCGGUGAGAGCGCGGGGCCAGCUGUUUCCCAGAUGAGAAAGUGAGGCCAGAUGCAUUAAAUCUGCUUCUCAGUCUUCCCCACACGGCAUCGGCCGUUGUGGCAGCUUUGUAAAACACUGCUUGGACUGCCUGGAAGUGGGUCCAGUCCCUGUUUUUUAAAAAACUCCAAAGGUGAUCAGGAAGUACAGUUGGAUUUGGAAACAAAGGAAUUAAGUGAUCCUCCCAGGGUCCUGAGGAAAGAAAGAAAAUAGACCCAAACCAUUAAUUUUUUUCAUUCACCCACCUACUUAUUUCUUGAGCAUUUACUUUGUGACAAGGAUUCUGCUAAAUGCUGGGAAUACAGCACAGACAAGAUCGUCUUAAUCUCCACGGUCUCAUAAAAGGGAAACGAUCAGGGUGCUAUGUCCAUAGUUCCUAGGGCACCAUUCAGCGUUGUUGGGCAGACAAAGCCUGCAAUGACCUUGGAAAUGAGGCAGAUACUGAGCUAAUAAUUCCAAAUGUGAUGUACCUUAUAAAACUGGAGUUUUAUUGUAUCUGGGGAAUGAUAAUGUCAAUCAUCUUCACAUACAGGAGAGUCUCUGGUCAUUUUGGGCUACUGCCACUGUCUUAUUCUCAAGACAGUCAAAACUGCUAACCGGUUAUAUAUAAAAAAGUGGUCUCUUUUAUUCAAACACUGCAUAAGCAAAUGAAUAGGUCGUUGCACAAAGAUGCCUCUGACCUUUGGAUCUCAAAUUCCACAAACCAGAUUGAACUCCGUAGUGUGGGCUUUUUAUAAUUAUCUAAGCAAAAGAUAAUCCUUCAGAGAAUUUGCCUGGAGUCCAGACAGAUGCAGAACUCAGCUUUUAUUUCCAUAUUCUUCUAAUGAUUCAGUAAAGGACUGGGGAAGAUUUUUGUUUCUUUGUUUCUUUCUUUGUUUUGUUUUGUUUUAGGUAAGACCGGUGGAUAUGUGGUGUUUGGUGAAGAUAAGUAUCCAGAUUUUAAGAUUUUAAGGCCCCAAAGCAAGUGUGAGUCAUUUGUCUGAGUCCUGCUGCUGAGCGCAUGGUGACGGCAGUGGGAUUCACCUGCGCAUGGGCUUGGAGAGGAACAGCCUCCUUGGAACAGGGCAUCUCCAUGAACAGUCUUGGGAAGAGAUGUGGGGACCCCAACCCCAGCCCGCUCUCCUCUGUACAACAGCUGUCAACACAGAAGCCAUUUGCCCUGGGAAACUGGUCUCUUUGUGUUUAAAAUAUAAUGUUUCUUUAAAGCAUCCUUAGCAUAUUUUCAGUAGGUUUCAAGAUAAGAAAGAUUUCUUUUAACACUGUAUUCAUAUAGGAACCUGCCAUUCUGAUUCAGCAAUCAAACUGUUUUCUUUCACCGUUUUUUUUUUUUUAAUGCUCUUUGAGUUCAUCAAAAUCCUCAUGAGAAUCACAUCAAUUUCUUAAAAUUCUCCUUUUUUUUCCUCAGAAAUACAAUUUGUGACCUCAUCGUCUUUUGGCGGGGUGGGUACUGUAGGGGUUGGUUAAGUUCUGGAUUUCAGAGUGUUUCCCCGAAGGCAGUAUAAUGUCAACAAAGCAAGUAAUUAAACUGAGGAGGAGGUGCUGACUGGAUGAAGCCUUUGCCAAGUUGUUAACACAGCAAGUCAUUAAGCAAAGUGACUACUAAACUCGAUAAAGCAAGACUUGCCCUGGAUAAGUUACCCUGGGAUAGCAGAAAGUUGACGACAUUAGGCAAAUUUUCAUCCAGGGAAAAGGCUGAGGACAAAGAUAACUCGGCACUAAGCAACCUUUCGGAGCUGGAGAAAUGGAGAGGACCCCAAGAGGUCAGCGGGUCCAAGCCCAGCUCUUGAACACACCAUUAACUGACCCUUCUGGGCUAUAAGCCUGUCCAUCUGUUCUCAAAGUUAAUCAGAAUAGACACGCAACUUAUUUUUUUUUUAAACAGCUUAUUCCAUUUGGAAGUGUUCAAUCACUAUAUUGUAUACCCGAAACUAAUAUUACUCUGUGACUAAUAUUAUUCUGUAAGAAAUUUAAAUAAAAACUUAACAAAUAAAACCCCAGCUUAUUCUAG